CGACCUCAGAGCAGGUGAGAUUACCCGCUGAAUUUAAGCAUAUUACUAAGCGGAGGAAAAGAAACUAACUAGGAUUCCCUUAGUAGCUGCGAGCGAACAGGGAAAAGCCCAGCACCGAAUCCCGUGUGGUCGAUAUCGGCCACCGGGAAAUGUGGUGUUAGGGAGGAUCCGUUUAUCACGAGAUCGUGCGGCGCGUCCAAGUCCUUCUUGAACGGGGCCACAGCCCAUAGAGGGUGCCAGGCCCGUAGCGACCGUUGCCGAUUGCGUGAGGAUCUCUCCUGAGAGUCGGGUUGCUUGAGAGUGCAGCCCUAAGUGGGUGGUAAACUCCAUCUAAGGCUAAAUAUGACCACGAGACCGAUAGCGAACAAGUACCGUGAGGGAAAGUUGAAAAGCACUUUGAAGAGAGAGUUCAAGAGUACGUGAAACCGUUCAGGGGUAAACCUGAGAAACCCGAAAGGUCGAAAGAGGAAAUUCAUUCGCGUUUCGAUAAUUGAAGUUGAACGUUUGUAUGACGGAUAUUGUUGUUGUUUCGGCAACACAAUAAAUCGCGUUUUACGUUUUUCUAAUCGAUAUCGAACGCGUGCACUUUUCCUCUAGUAGGACGUCGUGAUCCGUUGGGUGUCUGUUUAAGACUCGAGGUGGAGACCACUUGAUUUUUUCAUGCGGACCCUCGAUAUUCCGACAGACUCGCUCGACGGUACAAAUAUGGCGCGGGGCCGCUAAAUUAUAAUUAGCGUUCGGCCCGUAGCAAGAGCGUUUCGUGUUUGACGGUAAUCGGACAUAAUGCCGAUUCUGUCCCGGAACGACUGUUGGUUACGGUGUUCUCGAACAGACCUCGUUUCGAAACGCCGAUCAACGACGCUAUCGAUUUGGGUAAUUUCAGGACCCGUCUUGAAACACGGACCAAGGAGUCUAGCAUGUGCGCGAGUCAUUGGGAAAUAACUAAACCUAAAGGCGUAAUGAAAGUAAAGGUUUACCUCGCGUAGACCAAGGGAGGAUAAGCGAUUUGCUUUUUUAAUAAAUUGGAUCGCUUCGCACUCCCGGGGCGUCUCGUUCUCAUUACGAGAAGAGGCGCACCAAGAGCGUACACGCUGGGACCCGAAAGAUGGUGAACUAUGCCUGGUCAGGACGAAGUCAGGGGAAACCCUGAUGGAGGUCCGUAGCGAUUCUGACGUGCAAAUCGAUCGUCGGAACUGGGUAUAGGGGCGAAAGACUAAUCGAACCAUCUAGUAGCUGGUUCCCUCCGAAGUUUCCCUCAGGAUAGCUGGCGCUCGUAGCGUACGAGUUUCAUCCGGUAAAGCGAAUGAUUAGAGGCAUUGGGGUCGAAACGACCUCAACCUAUUCUCAAACUUUAAAUGGGUGAGAUCUCCGGCUUGCUCGAACUUAUGAAGCCGCGAGACUCGAAUCAGAGUGCCAAGUGGGCCAUUUUUGGUAAGCAGAACUGGCGCUGUGGGAUGAACCAAACGUCGAGUUAAAGCGCCAAAAUCGACGCUUAUGGGAUACCAUGAAAGGCGUUGGUAACUUAAGACAGCAGGACGGUGGCCAUGGAAGUCGGAAUCCGCCAAGGAGUGUGUAACAACUCAUCUGCCGAAGUUACUAGCCCUGAAAAUGGAUGGCGCUGAAGCGUCGUGCUUAUACUCGACCGUCAGCGGCAUGUGCGGUUCGCGUUUUGCGCGCGACCAUGAAGCUCUGACGAGUAGGAGGGUCGCGGCGGUGUGCGCAGAAGGAUUGGCCGUGAGGCCGUCUGGAGCCGCCGUCGGUGCAGAUCUUGGUGGUAGUAGCAAAUACUCCAGCGAGGCCCUGGAGGACUGACGUGGAGAAGGGUUUCGUGUGAACAGCCGUUGCACACGAGUCAGUCGAUCCUAAGCCCUAGGCGAAAGCCGAUGUUGAUGUGGUGUAGCUUUAUUAUUUACGUACGUACGUACGUGUGUACGUGUACACAAACACGUAAAAAGUUUGUACACACCCAUCGGGCGAAAGGGAAUCCGGUUCCUAUUCCGGAACCCGGCAGCGGAACCGUCAAAAAGUCGGGCCCUCGCAAGAGAGUUCGUCGGGGUAACCCAAAAGGACCUGGAGACGCCGUCGGGAGAUCCGGGAAGAGUUUUCUUUUCUGCAUAAGCGUUCGAGUUCCAUGGAAUCCUCUAGCAGGGAGAUAUGGUUUGGAACGCGAAGAGCACCGCAGUUGCAGCGGUGUCCGGAUCUUCCCCUCGGACCUUGAAAAUCCAGGAGAGGGCCACGUGGAGGCUCGCGCCGGUUCGUACCCAUAUCCGCAGCAGGUCUCCAAGGUGAAGAGCCUCUAGUCGAUAGAAUAAUGUAGGUAAGGGAAGUCGGCAAAUUGGAUCCGUAACUUCGGGAUAAGGAUUGGCUCUGAGGAUCGGGGCGUGUCGGGCUUGGCGAGGAAGUGGGUCACGGCUGACGUGCCGGGCCUGGGCGAGGUGAAGUAAUUGGAGCAUCUCUCUCCUUCCUUCAUGGUUGGAGUAUUUGUGAUGAUUAUGGAUCC